GAUGAACGCUAGCGGCAGGCCUAACACAUGCAAGUCGAGGGGCAGCACAGAAACAGCAAUGUUUUGGUGGCGACCGGCGGACGGGUGCGUAACGCGUAUGCAACCUACCUUUAACAGGGGGAUAACGGAGAGAAAUUUCCACUAAUACCCCAUAACAUCGAUCAAGGCAUCUUGAUCGGUUGAAAACUCCGGUGGUUAAAGAUGGGCAUGCGUUGUAUUAGGUAGUUGGUGAGGUAAUGGCUCACCAAGCCUACGAUACAUAGGGGGACUGAGAGGUUAGCCCCCCACACUAGUACUGAGACACGGACCAGACUCCUACGGGAGGCAGCAGUGAGGAAUAUUGGUCAAUGGGGGCAACCCUGAACCAGCCAUGCCGCGUGCAGGAAGACGGCUCUAUGAGUUGUAAACUGCUUUUAAACAGGGAUAAAGCACAGUAUGUAUACUGUGUUGAAGGUACUGUAAGAAUAAGGAUCGGCCAACUCCGUGCCAGCAGCCGCGGUAA
rnacentral:rRNA from 1 species